rnacentral:tRNA from 1 species
GUGUGCAUAGCUUAGCGGUUAUAAGAGCAUUCCUCCGGAUUGAGGUGGUCAUGGGUUUGAAUCCCAUUGCACACA